AUUGAACGCUGGCGGCAGGCCUAACACAUGCAAGUCGAACGAGUGGCGGACGGGUGAGUAAUGUCUGGGAAACUGCCUGAUGGAGGGGGAUAACUACUGGAAACGGUAGCUAAUACCGCAUACCAUCAGAUGUGCCCAGAUGGGAUUAGCUAGUUGGUGGGGUAACGGCUCACCAAGGCGACGAUCCCUAGCUGGUCUGAGAGGAUGAACAGGCACACUGUAACUGAGACACGGUCCAGCCUCCUACGUGAGGCAGCAGUGGGGAAUAGUGCACGAUGGGCGCAAGCCUGAAGCAGCCAUGCAGCGUGUAUGAAGAAGGCCGUCGGGUUGUAAAGUACUUUCAGCGGGGAGGCGGUACCCGCAGAAGAAGCACCGUCUAACUCCGUGCCAGCAGCCGCGGUAAUUC
rnacentral:rRNA from 1 species